rnacentral:ncRNA from 2 species
GUGGUAAUACAUGCGAUUGUUUUCUCCAGAUGUGAAUUAUGGAGGAAAAGUUGACCUCAUCAGAAGCACGCCAUUCGACUGAGUGACCUAUCAGCUUGUACUUAGGGUCUUUACCUAGGUAGGCUAUCACGGGUAACGGGCGGUUACCGUCGGACUGCCGGAGAAGGCGCCUGAGAGAUAGCGACUAUAUCCACGGGUAGCAGCAGGCGCGAAACUUUCCCACUCGAGACUUUCGGAGGAGGUAAUGACCAGUUCCAUUGGUGCCUUUUGGUACUGUGGAUAGGGGUACGGUUUUCCACCGUACCGAAACCUAGCAGAGGGCCAGUCUGGUGCCAGCAGCUGCGGUAAUUCCAGCUCUGCGAGUUUGCUCCCAUAUUGUUGCAGUUAAAACGCCCGUAGUCUGAAUUGGCCAGCAAUGGUCGUACGUAUUUUUACGUUCACUGUGAACAAAUCAGGACGCUUAGAGUAUGGCCACAUGAAUGACUCAGCGCAGUAUGAAGUCUUUGUUUUCUUCCGAAAACAAGCUCAAUGAGAGCCAUCGGGGGUAGAUCUAUCUCAUGACGAGUGGUGGAAUACUUUGACUCAUGAGAGAGAAGCUGAGGCGAAGGCGUCUACCUAGAGGGUUUCUGUCGAUCAAGGGCGAGAGUAGGAGUAUCCAACAGGAUUAGAGACCCUGGUAGUUCCUACCUUAAACGAUGCCGACAGGAGUUUGUCAUUUGUUAAUGGCAGAAUCUUUGGAGAAAUCAUAGUUCUUGGGCUCUGGGGGAACUACGACCGCAAGGCUGAAACUUGAAGGAAUUGACGGAAGGGCACACCAGGGGUGGAGCCUGUGGCUUAAUUUGAAUCAACACGGGGAAACUUACCAGGACCAGAUGUUUUUUAUGACUGACAGGCUUCGGGUCUUUCAGGAUAUUGUUUUUGGUGGUGCAUGGCCGUUGGUGGUGCGUGGGUUGACCUGUCUAGCGUUGAUUCAGCUAACGAGCGAGAUUAUCGCCAAUUAUUUACUUUGCCG